rnacentral:lncRNA from 1 species
GGGCGAGGGCGCCGCUCUCGGCGGCGGCGGGGGAGCAAGUCGGGAGGACUCAACCUCCGGGCAAGAAGCCCCCACCCGGGACCCGGCGGGCCCCGCGGGCGCGGGGGUGGAUGCCCGGCUCGGGCAGAAAUCUCCCGCUCCGGUUUUCGCGGCCCUGGAGGGACCUUCCGCCCCGAGAGCUCCCACCUGGGACGGCGGCUCCAGCAGGUCAAGACCCCGAGUGGAAGGAAGGCCGGGGGCGUGCAGGUAGACCCGUUUUCCUUUCUCCCGGCCAGGCGAUUUCUGCUGCCUGGGGCCGUGGCGGUGGGGGCUGCGGAGCCCAGGAGCUUCCCACCCAGAGGAAAGGCAGCCUCACCCUCACUCUUCUCAGCGCGGACACGCCGCCCUCACCGCCGUGGGUGAGGGUCCUCAGGCUACACCCCACGGCUUGGAAUUCCACAACAUUGGACGAGGCACUCAGGACGGCCUGGCUCCCACAGACCCCUGCAGGAUGAACAGCCUCCCUGAGUCCAGGACGCCAGUGUCCGAAGAUUUCUGAAGGUUGUUGCAUUGAACCCAGGAAGGCUCCAGAGUGCCGGGGACUCUGGGGCAAGCCCUCCCCCUUCCCUGCUUUGGCUGGCAGAGCUUCGAGGCCACCUCCUCCAGGCAGUCUUCCCAAACGCCUGAGCCGUGCUUGAAAAUCUGCUGUCCUCUCAGGCUGCUGCCCUGCUGCUCUGCCCGCCGCUCCUGAGUCCCGUCCAAACUGCCUGGCCUGGCCUUCCAGGCCUCCAAGUGGGGCCUCCGCUUCCCUCUUCAGCUCAUCUCCCGCCCCAGCCCGGCCCUGACCCAGUGCACCGGCCACGGAAGCAUCGCAGCCUCGACUCCACGAACGCCAGGCCUGCGAACCGGGACCAUCACCGCUCCAGGAGGCGCCAAUCAAGGCCACUCGGCCGGACUCCGUGUCUGGACCUGGGCCCUGUCUUCUGCCUCCGAGUUCCCGCGCUUCCCGACCAGCCGCGGUUUCUGCACGCGCGCUUCCUCCGCUGGUACCACCCCCUCCCUUUCUGGAACUCCUUCCAGCUCAUCGUCCCAAACCCUAGCUGUCCUUCAAGGCCUGGCCCAGACGUGGCCUCCUGGACCUCCCCCUCCCCCCUGUAGUGUGUGUUGCCUUUUAUUUGUGACCUUGGGUCGCCGAGUUCCCGGGAGGGAGGGGCGAUGGGGGUCUACCGGCAGAGACGGCUAGUGGUCCCCCAGUACUCACUCUCCUCUUCCGAAAGUAAAAGAAGCUCCAAAUU